rnacentral:rRNA from 1 species
CCUACGAGAGGCAGCAGUGGGGGAUAUUGCACAAUGGGGGAAACCCUGAUGCAGCGACGCCGCGUGAGUGAAGAAGUAUUUCGGUAUGUAAAGCUCUAUCAGCAGGGAAGAAAAUGACAGUACCUGACCACGAAGCCCCGGCUAACUACGUGCCAGCAGCCGCGGUAAUACGUAGGGGGCAAGCGUUAUCCGGAUUUACUGGGUGUAAAGGGAGCGUAGACGGUUAUGUAAGUCUGGAGUGAAAGCCCGGGGCCCAACCCCGGGACUGCUUUGGAAACUGUGUAACUUGAGUACAGGAGGGGCAGGCGGAAUUACUGGUGUAGCGGUGAAAUGCGUAGAUAUCAGGAGGAACACCGGCGGCGAAGGCGGCCUGCUGGACUGAAACUGACGUUGAUGCUCGAAAGCGUGGGGAGCAAACAGGAUUAGAUACCCGGGUAGUC